ensembl:snRNA U6 U6 spliceosomal RNA
GUGCUUGAUUGGGAAGCACAUAUACUAAAAUUGGAACAAUACAGAGAUAAGCACAGCCCCUGAUCAAGGAUGACACGCAAAUUCAUGAAGCGUUCCAUAAUUUA